ensembl:lncRNA
GUUUAUUGGAAAAAGCUGUUCAAAAGAGGACAUUAACGAAGGCCAUGCAGCCAAAAUGCAUCUGAGUUUUUAAUCUUUGUUGCCAUUGAACAUGCCAUACAAAUACAUUUUAAUUAACUGUAUGAAGAGAGAGCCUUGGUCUUCCUUUCUUUUUGACAUACGUAGAUUUGUUGGCCAAUUCCUCCACCCUCCAUGCACUCUUCAAAUAGCCUACAUUCCAUGUCAGUGACGGGCUGUUAAGUUAAAACCAGGACUCGAAUUGACGGGGUAUGAGAGGGUAUGCCAUAGGCCUACCUUUUAUUAAAGAAAAUGCAAAAAGCACAGGCACAUUGUUAGUUUAAGAUUUUGCAAAAAUGUUAUAAAGUGAUCAAUAACAGCACUUUGGUCCGCAAUGCUUUAUGCUAGAAACAAGCUGUAAAACACACCGGAAAGACAUGAAUGCAUAUGGGGGAUAUCAUUGUUUAAUUUCUUUGACAUUCAGAGACUGAGCUACAAUCUUUUAUAGCCGAGGAGACAGAACAUGGUUGCUUGGGAAGUAAUCUAAUUCUGUCACUAUCAAUUGAUUAAGCUAUUUACAUUCUGUACAAUAGAAGAUGUUUAAACUCAGACAGCUUUUAGAAAACACUUGUUACUUCUGUUGGGUUAAGCCAAGGAAGAAGAGUAGCCAGCAGUUAAAGCUUACAUUUGUCUGUGUCGGUCGGCCUACUGUCUGGGGUGGAAAGGCAGGCCUACUGUCUGGGGUGGAAAGAUAGGCCUACUGUCUGGGGUGGAAAGGUAGGCCUACUGUCUGGGGUGGAAAGGUAGACCUAACUUUUGAAACUACCAUGCUCAGAUUCCUUAUGACAUUUCUGAUUUCAUUAUUUGCAAACAGGGAGUUUCAUUGCAAAUAAGACACACUGAUUUGGCAUUGGAGGAAUAUGAUAAGAUGAACACAUAUGCCUAUCUCUCUGUCCAUUCUUAUCCUGUAAUUCCAGUCAUUUGUGUGGUAUUAAAAAACAUUUUGUAAAUACAGUAUGUAAAAUUAUGCAGAAUUGCAUGACAUUUUUACAAAAGGCAAUUGUUUCUCUCAGACCUGGAAAUACAAUGAUAGAUCAAUUCAAUACUUUUCCCACCCCUACUGUGGUCCAUAGUGGUCUGUGAACCCACAAUCUUCUGGACCCCAAGCCAUGUGUUGCCAUGUAAUGCUUACAGAACUAAGAACAGUUUCUAAAACGGCAUAAGGCUCUGGUCUAUCCAAGAAGUGAGGUAAGGAUGUUCUUUGCUAUCCACUUUAGGUUUUCAUUAUUCUUUUGGGUAUAGGGGAGGGUCACUUGUUAUUUUUCAAACGUCUAGGGAGGGUUUAGGUCAAAUAAACUUCGCUGAAGGGAUGGCCAUCCAUUUUCAUCUCAGAGAGGUCCGAUUUUCUCUAUCUAAUUACAAAUAACAUUCACACCCUAAUUGGAGUGCCCAGGAUUUUGUUUACUAUAUAACGUCUACCCCCGAGUCCAGGUUGAAAAUAUGAGUGUGAUGGUCUGGUGGGUAGGCCCUAUUAUCUGUACACAUGGUCCAACACAGACCAUAUAGAAAUGUACACAGUACAGAAAGGAUGUGAAAGCAAUAUAUCAUUUAUACAGAUCAUGAUGUUCCCAAAAAUUCAAUACCCAUUUCCACAAGCUAAGAUGUAAAGUACAAGUACUGUAGUUCUUCAAUACAAUUGACAAGUUGUCUUGGUGCUGUAGGUGAGAAAGAUUGUCAAUGCAUUGUGCAUUCAAUUCACCUAGAAUUCAUAAACAUCUGAUAUUCCAGAUGCUUUGCUGUCUUGAAGAAAGUAUUUCCUCUUGAUGGGUCAAACCAGGCCACUAAGGAAAUAAAAAAUAAAAACAAAACUGUAUUAGUCUAACAACUAUUAACUUGUUUCAUUUAGACUCCCUUCAUGGUUGGUGAUUCUCUC